UUAUUAUUUGCCACACAUUAGACUAAUUUCUUUAUAAUUUGCCAUGUUUCUCCUUUUACAGAACUAUUCAGUUUUCUAACACGAAAAUACAUAGUGAAAUACACUGCGUGUACGCCGGACAUAAUCAACCAACCAAACAGAAAACCAAACAUCUGGCCAGUGCUAUUCCCCAUUCUAUCCGUGUCCAGUGAGUUCCAGCUGAGAAAGUGAGAAGUGAAGCGCCAGGAUCCGCGCCGGCCGGCCGCCUUGCCCACGCUCGUUCUUGUGGCUGGCCGAGCCACGGCGAGCUUGCCAAAGGUAGGCGCGAGGAAGCCAAGGCAGGGGAUGCAGCGCUGAGCUCUUGAAUGGGUGGUCGUGCGGCCGGCGGGGACGAGCAAGAUGGAGCUAUGGUGGCGCUCGGCGGCGGCCGCGACCGCGGCUGGUGGUAGGAGGUUGCAGCGGCGCUGGAGUGGCGGCGGAGAUGCACUGAGGAAGAGCUGCGGGUCGCCUGCCUUGAGGUUAUUUUGCCGGCGUUCAUACAGAGAUGCUACCGGCGACUUCCGACGACAAUCCCAAAGCUGGGUGGCGACACCCCCGAGCUCCUGCCGUCGGCUACCUCUCCGUCAUUCUGCUCGUGGCCACCUCCCCGACAAGCUACUGCUGGCAUUUCUUGCUACCGUGAAGAGCAUGAUCUAGGAUCAUUGAGGCACUGAAGCUCAUGGAUCAGGGAUAGGGAGUAGAAGAUUUCAAAUCAGGCAAAGCAAAGACUCGACUCGUUGGCACUGGAAAAAAUCUUCCUUACAAUAGUUGAUUCAAUGUACGGAGUGCAUGAGAUUCUAUGAAAAGAAAUUAGCCGAUGGCUGUGUGAUUCAUCCGUAAUUAUUUAGCAAUGAUGAAAUAGAUUGUGCAAUCAGCCAGGGAAGAGGAAGAAUUACAUGGA